UGCUGCAGCCCAGAGCCCACAGCCUGGAGCUGCACCCCAGUUUCUGUCCUCCAAGAACAGAGCCCCAAGGGCUCAUCUCCAGGCCCCUCUCCCUUCCCUGCACCCAGUGGGAGAGAGGGCUCUCAGCAACAGUGAGUGCUGGCAGGAGGGACUGCUGCAGCCAACUGGGGGGCUCUGUGACAUGCCCAAGUCCUUGUGCUCUCUCCAGCUAGGGAAGGACAGGAGCAGGGCUGAAGAGUGCCUGUGUCAGGGCCUGAUGUACCUCGAGGACCCUGAGACCACUCUGUAAGAAGUGGCCAUCAGGUUCAUUGAGGUGGCCACGCAGCAGCUGAGGGACCAAAGCAUGCCUAUGUGGAUGAGAUCUGCAGCACCCUUCAGCCCUUGCAGACAGACAGCAGUGAAAUCGUCUCUUGCCUGGCAACUCAGACUGUCUGGAUCCUGGUG